CGAUGGAUUGAGAGUCGCUUUGGGUGCUUUGGGGGUUUUGCUCCCCUGCUUAUAAGCAUCACACAGGUGUGCGUUUGGUAAACCUGCUUUUGCUUAGCUUUUGGCAGAAGCCAUCGCUUCUUUUGGUCAAAAAGCCGAAGCCAGCAAUCCCAUGCUUUUAGAAGCAGGCACUGGCUUUUUCACUGUAGCGGGAGUUACUGUAGUUUAAUGAACAUUUCGAAAUACCGGGUUGUGUCCUCUCUUGCUUUCAGCCAUUACACCACACUGCCAUCAAACCCUUCUCUUCCGUGUUGAAAAGUGAAGCCUCCAGCGCCGCGCGGUGAACACUCCUCUUGCAUCUCGCUGACCGCCUCCUCUCAUUAGUGUUCGAAGCCUCAAUCCAAUCCCCAGAUUUUAAUAACCAGGCUCUGAAAAUCGAAAGCUCUGCAGAUCUCGGUCUGUGUAGGCUGGAUUCACGCCAAGUGGUCGAUACAUGAUGGUUGGUGGACACAAGGGUCAUCUAGCUAUUGUAGACAUGAAGCAAAUAAGCCUGAUUAAAGAAUUUCAGGAGGUUGAGUAUUCUGGUGGUGGCAUUCCUCUAUAUUGACAUCCAUGUUUGUUUUGGUUUGCUGCCAAUAUCAGCAAGGAUAAUGAGACUUGCAGAAAGUGAAGCAGGAGGAGAUGUGUUGCUGUGUACUGGCUGGCUAAUGGCGCAUAGCAUGUGGCCUGGUGUGGAUCAUGUGAUUCUAGAGUUUAAAUGAUAUCAACUAAAUUUUGUGGUGGGCAAAGAGCCAGUUUGUAGUACACUUUUAUUCAAGUAACUCGAUGGAUUAUCAUCAAAUCUGUAUUUUAACAGUUUGAUAUUUGCUAGCAUUGGAUGUCAAUUAGCUUUUCAGUGUGGGAUUGUAAUCCAAACUGAAUUUUACUUUAUUAGUCAUUUUAAUGCUUUGCUAGUCAAAUUAGUCA